rnacentral:misc_RNA from 1 species
AAGUCGUAACAAGGUUUCCGUAGGUGAACCUGCGGAAGGAUCAUUACUGAAGUGAGUCUUCAUUCAUUGAAGCUUCUUCCCAUUGUGCUGGCUUUGACCGUAUGUUAUGUUGGGGAUUAAACAUGGUUAAGAAGAAUUUUUAAUUUUUCUUGGCCGUCCCCAACAAUUAUCUUAUCCUUUAUUAAAUUGAACUGAACUCAUUUUGAGAUUACAUAAAAAAAUAAUCUUAUAAUACAA